AAGCCAGACCCAGACCGAGACCAAGGCGGGGCGGUGUAAUCGAGGUCACAGAGAGGUCACAGGUGAAGGAUGGCGGCGUCCCAGCUGGUCCAGGACGCGCUGGUUCGCAAGACGGCCGCCCACUCCCUGCUAUGGGGUGGCCGGUCCGCGGGGCUUCUCGUCUUCCUUAUCGCUGUCUUCACCUAUGAUUUGCAGAAUGGGGGUGUGAGUGGGUGGGGCGGUGCGUGGUGGUGGGUGUGCUGGUGUGUGUGUACUCUGCUUGGUGUCCUGCUGGUGCGCCUCCUGCUGUCAGCCCUGCUCCUCUACCUCACCCUGCCGCCCCUUGAGGUCUCCGACAAGCAGAGACAACUUAUGAACAUUACACAGAAUGACUUUGGGUUCAAGUCGUCAUCACCACAGCAAGCCAGUUCAACACCAGUGGCAGAGCAGAAGGUUCCUCUCUCUUCCCUCUUCUCCGCCACUGUCCGCACACCCUCCCCUGCCCCCCCUCUCUCCCCCAUCAACCUCACCACAGCCUCCUGGUCCAGCCUCUCCCCUCAGUCUCCCCUUGCUGCCGCCUCGCAUAAUAGCAGCCUUGGUUUGAGUGCCAGUAUGCUCAGUAGUGGCACCGCUGGCUCUGUGACGGCUGACUCCUGGUCCUUCCACCGCAACCAGUCCUCCCUGCUGGACCUAUCCUUCCCCUUAAUGUCGGGCAGCCAGACACAGCCACAGCAGCAAAUGUUCCAGCCACCACUGACAGAUUCCCUCCUCAGUCAGCCCCUGCCGUCACCCGCCACCCCGCCAGCCUCCCCCGCCUCUCCGAUCACUGAUGAGGCCUCCCUGCAGUCUUAUCUACACCACCACAGGGAGAAGGAGAAGCUCAGGCAGAUAAUGUACCAAUGUGAGGGCAGCAGUUCAUCUCUGUGGGGGUACGGUGGUUCGCCGCGGUCCUCCCUGGCUGACCAUGGCGCGUCCCUUCGUAAGGCAGUGUACCAGCCAGCCAACCGGGACACAGGUCAGGAGACAAACUCAGCGGACAGCAAGAAUGACAGCUCCAAGACGUCCACCUCCUCCAGUAGCAGUGUCAGCAAAAUUUGGCGCAAGAGGAACGUUACGCCAGAACAGCUCUUUAAGUUUACGGAGAACCUUCGCAUCUGGAUGUCGGCGACUCUGCUGGUGCCGCUGGUGCAGAACAUUGAUGCCACAAACAAGGUGCUGCGUGGAGUGGCCCCAGAGAUACAGAUUGGUGCUGUCGGCGUCGACAAGCUCAAGAAAACGGCACAGAAUAUUUCAGGCCUUAAGCAGCUGGCUGAUGUGGUUCCGUUCCUGGAGGUGACAGUGCAUCAAGACUACCUCCUCCACCGCCUCCGAGAGCUGGCCAGUGGUGGGGCCAUCUCCGCCUACCGCUGGAACUCUGGAAGCACCACAUUUAACAGCCGCCCUUGGAAGGAGGAGUACCCCACGGACACUGCUAUCCUACUACACCUGUUUGCCAUGCACCUGGACCAGCAGCUGCCCCCAGACAUUGCCCAGCCUGAGGGAAGGAUGUUUUCCAGCACUCACGUCAUCAAGGCUCCUGAAAAACCACCCAAGACGACACACAGACCACUUCUCUAUCUCAGCCAGGUCACCCCACCCCACGUGAAGGUCGUCCUGCCCCCUGAGGAAGAGUGCGAUGUUGGAAGUGGCCGUAACAACCUCACACACGCCCUUCUCCUCUUCAUUCACUACGUCAUUCAUUGCCAACAUUCCCGCAUCGCUAACAUUAAUUUAUCUAUGUCUGGGGUCAAUCUAUCCUGGGUCAUUGGUGCGGAUAAGGUCAAAAGUAGCCUCCUCUGACCUUGCUUGACCUGGUUCGGUGUGUGUGUCUGACCUUUUUGUGUGUUUGUGUGUGUUUGUUUUGACGUUUUGUUGAGGUGUUUGGUUAGUGACGACUGAAGAUUGUGUUUGGAGGGUUUUUGUUUUGUUUUUUCUCUCUCUCUCUCUCUCUCUCUCUCUCUCUCUCUCUCUCUCUCUCUCUCUCUCUCUCUCUCUCUCUCUCUCUCUCUCUCAUUUCCCUAUAGUUUGGUGUGGUCAGCGAGUGCCAAGCGUUUCCAAAGUGUGCCAGACCUCAAACCUCUCUGUGCUUGUUUGGGUAAGAUUUCUGACGAGUGUUUGACCGACAGACCGACAAAAGAGUGCGUUUGAGUGUGUGUGUGUGUGUGUGUGUGUGUGUGUGUGUGUGUGUGUGUGUGUGUGUGCAGCAAGGAGACACACAGAGAGGUGGUUCAGAUACUGUAUGUUUAUUGGUUUAAAUGUGACAGUGGUCAGUCAUAGUUUGGGUUAUGCGCUAACUAACGUUUUACAAAAAUUUGCUACAUUAUUAAUUUAUUGUUUUAGUUUUUUUUUUUUUUUAGUUUUUUUUGUUCAUUUAUUUCCAUUCUUGUCUCCACUAACAACAGGGUUACAAAGAAAACGGGGAGAGGCCUGGAGGGGGAUAAACCAUUCCUUACACCAAACACACACACACACAAACACACACACAGCAAUUUUAAAACACACACAAAACUCAUGAAUCGAAUAUUUAGCUUUCAUUUCAAUUCCUUUUCAUUUAUUUAACUUAACACAUGAUCCAUUUCUGUAUAUCCACAUUUAGUUGCAUCGUAUCCACAAAUACCAAUGCGGGUUUAGCAGUCGGAUAAGUGGGUGAGUUUGAGGUGGCUGUGUGGGUUGGCGUAAGCAUCGGUGACCCAAAUGAAUGCAAUGAGCCAGGCUAAUUAUAAUAUCACAAUAGUACUUGUUGCAGACUUUGCCGCAGGAAGGAAACACUGUGGCUGGAAGGAAGGAAGGAAGGAAGGAGGGAAGGAAGGAAGGAAGGAAGGAAGGAAAGGAAGGAAGGAAGGAGGGAAGGAAGGAAGGUCUGUAGUUUAAGGUUUGUUUUGCAUGCACACACACAUACACACACUUGCUCAUUCACUUUCUUUCUUUCUUUCUUUUCUCUCUCUCUCUCUCUCAGUUUUGAUAUGAUAAGGUUAAAAUCCACACCUAUAUUUCACUAAAUGGCAACCUAACCUGCCGACUUUCUCACUGACCUUUGACACAAUUAUCCAGUGACCUUGUUUGUUUUGACCUUCCCAAACUGUGACACACACACACACACACACACACACACACACACACACACACACA